rnacentral:lncRNA from 1 species
ACAGAAUUCAAGGAUCAAAGAAGACUAGCAGACGGAGGACAUCCUAAUCGAUGUCAGGGUGCUGCCGACACUCAAAUACACCUCCACCACCUGCCAGCUACAUCAGAAGAAAUUACGUCAAAAUCCAGCUUGGGGGAGAGCACCCCCAUUUAUCCAGCUAAGUGUUUCUACUCGCGUUUAUACUUUACUCAAAUAAUAAAAAGAUGCGUAAUCAUGAAAACCCAAAUAAAAAUUUUGUGCUUAUAUAUAUCUUUGCUUAGUUUGCUAAAUAAAUAAAUAAAGUGUCUAGGCCAAACUGAACUUAAAUGAUAAACUCUUACAUGGAUAUGAUAAAUAGUUGCUCUGCCAUGUACCUAGUUUUCAAGUUUGAGCUCUCUCUCAAGUUUAGGCAUAACUGUUAUAAUUUAAACCUGCUCUAAAGUCUAAGUCGUUAAUGGAUAUGAUAUGGGAAGGCUGAGCUACUGUUUAUCUAUUCCUAGACAUGCUAGAAUUCUGGAGAAUUUUAUCUCUAAAAAUCUUUAAAAUAACACAUAAUGAGUUCCUGUAUGAUGAGAGUUUAAAAUCCUACCACAGCCAUAUAUACAUGCUUAUUAGACUUUGAGCCACACAUUUACUUUUUACUGCUUAUGAGCAUUGAGUGUGGUCAAGCUGUGUAGACCCUUAGGAGCUUGUCAUGUGGUUAAAAUCAAGAUUCACUUGCACGUUCACUCACACAUCCUGCUUCUACUCCAGAAGUACGCAUCCACAUACAUCCACUCAAUUCCAUCUCCAGAUUCACCUAAAAUUAUUCUACUCCUAUCCAGUAGAGAAUAGCCAAAAACAUUAUCCUAUCCCUGUUUUUCCCUGUAAAAUAAAUGCUCGAGUUAUCUUGGUUACUACCACUUGCUACAUUAUUCCAGGAGAGUGAGUGCUCUAAAAAAGUGAAUACGAGGAAAAAAUACGAGGAAAUAAAAAGGGGCAAGUGCCCGGAACCUCGAAGAAAAGAAAAAGUGAGACGAGAGGUAAAAAUGGACAAGUGUCCGAUAGUAGAAUUAGGGGUACAAGAUACCCACCUGAGAGAAAAGAAAAAUAAAAUGUAGAGCAUCUCAUUCUCCUCAAAAAGCUUCAAGGUACAAGAAAGGUAUGUAUCCCCUUAAGAGAGCAAAAAGUAGAAUUAGACUUUCACCAUUGUUAUCACUAUCAUCACCAUACACCAUUCACUUGCCACACAUGCACAUCUUGAUUUGACUUAUUGACUUGUUCUUCUGGAUCCAUGGUUUGACUAUGCAAUAAAUGUCUUGUAAGUAUGUAUGCUUUAUCUCCCACCUAUGAGCUCCAGAUAUCAAAAUCUUAUUAGAGUAGGGUGAGAGAGAAGGCAAUAUUACUAUGCCCCAUACCAAAAAUACCACAUACUUUGAGAGAAGGAAUAUACCAUUAUUGCCUUGGAAAGGAUCCAGAAAUACCACAAAAGAGAGAUUUGAGAGAGUCAUACAAGGAAUCUCUGAGUUUUAUUUGAAAAUCUGAAAAAACUCCAGAGCUAUAGCUGAUCAAAGAACAAGAGACAUGGUGCUUGACUAGACUGUUCUAUCUUUUAACUACUCAAGACACAAGUGACGGUUGCAAGCCCCAUGGUGAAAGGUAAAAUGAGUAAGUUUUAAGUCUUAACAGUUUACUCUAACUCAGAGAUGAGAUCUUGCUUCAACGCAUGUGUACUUUUAAGGCAUGAAACCUCUGCAAAAACUUUUGAGUCUAUCCUUGCUCAGGGACGAGCAAGAGGUAAGCUUGGGGGAGUUUGUUGAUGGUCCUUAAGUACCAAAUAUAAUCAUCAAAUAAAUAAAGAAAAGGAUCCAAAUGCAACCAACACCCAGACUUAGGGUUUUUAUCUGACAGAAUUCCACAAGUUUUGGUGUUUGUCUAUUUCUGCAGGGGUCAUCAGGAAAUAUGUAGGAAAGGCCCACACGUCGGGUUUACAUAGAGAUAUUGACGUGCCGCGCAAUUUUCUAUCAUCUAGAAAAGUCCAGAAGCCACGGGAACGAACGGAAGGCCGAACGGGCCCGGGGGCAGGGCACCCGCCCUGGUACAAGCACUAAUCACAGAAUGGAGUACACCAUUACAAAGAUCUCGUCAAGUUGAUCAAAAUGCAUAUAUUAUUUGCUAAAUUUGGAGUUCGGAAUCAAGAGAUAUUAAUAAAAGAAGGACUCCACAUAAAAGAGCUGUGGGAUUAAUUGGGCCCAAAUCAGAUUUUGGUCCAUUAAGACCUAUGUCCAUUUUAAUGAGAUAUGGUGGAAAGUUUAGUACCACAUCGCCAGCUGAACCAAAAAGGCACAAAAAGAGGAGGCUAUAUAAGCAAGGCCCCUGGCCCCUGGAGGAGAACACAACAUUAUAGAGUUAAGAGGUGCCCUCGAAGGAUAACCUUUCCUCUAUAUAGAAUUAGGGCUUAGCAUCUAAUGUGAGAUUAGAAUUAGUUCUUCUAAUUUCUUCUAGAUUGAGAGAGAUAGAGUGGAGGUGUAGAUCGGAGGAAGCCCGGCCUGUCGGUGUCUACUCCGAGGUUGUACCUGCGGGAUCAAGUCUCCUAACCCGAGGCUUGCUCCUAUGAUUCUUCAGUAUUUUGACUUCUAAAUUCUAGUAAGUUCUUGUUUUAUUGUUCUUUGGUUUAUGAGUUUACUUUAAUCUCUUCCGGUUGAGUUUAGAGUAAUCAUUACUAGCGUAAACGUGGUGUUUGGGCUAGGGUACUCAUAGAUAUCUCCUGACUAGCUGGACCAUGGUAGUAGCGAGGAACAUGACAUUUCUGAGUUACCUUUGCAUCCCACAUCUUGUUAGCAGGACGGGUAGGGUUUAUAGGUGCGGGUCGAACAUCCUUUGUGGUGUCUAGAUUCCGUAAGCUUCUCUAAUAGAACAGUAGAUCAUCCUUACCAAGGUUAGAACGAGACUACGGUUGUAGUCUUCUCUAUACAUCGCUCACAUCAAGAAACAUUCUUUGUAGCCUAAAAGGUAGUAGCAAUAGAUUUGGUUAGUUAGAUGCACGCUUUCUCCUAGCGGUAAAAAUAUAAAUACGAUACUCUGGAUAACCUCCCGGGUGAAAUGCUCACCGAUAUCCAUACGCUUGCGGAUCAUUUUCUGAUGGCGUUACCAAAUAUCAACACUGGGAAGUCCUGAGAUAAACUCACAUUGGAGACAAAGAGAGACACAUAAAGUUUAACAAUUUACACAAGGAAGACAUAGCUCAUAAGAGAUGAUCCAUGGAGGGUGCCACAAACACGAUGCAUAACUGCUAAGAAAGGAAAGCUUCCACAAGGUGAUACUGUACCAUCACUCUUCAAGUAAGGUAACAUCUUAAGGUACUUGACUAUCACUUUUAUAAGUUUCUUCUUGGUUCUGGCGUUCACAUGAAUAAAAGAGACAAACAUGUAUGAUUUACAACUCUAGAUUAACCAACCCAAUCGAUUCAAUAUGUUUAGUCCUUCCACCUUUGUGAUCCCACACUCCUAAUCAUAUGAGCUAAAAUGUUGCACACUCAAUGUUUGGAAGGUAUAUAAAAAACACAACAUAAAUAUAGAUAGAUUAUCUUUCCAUUAGGUUGAGCGAUCUGAUCUGACAAAUAUUUUAAAUGCUACACUCAUGAUCUUAUUAUCCAUAAACUUUGUCUUGCUCACUAUGCUUAAGGUUAGAGAAGAACAAAUACACUUUUGGUUCUGUUGGUGCUUUCCACCAACAGGGCCCAUGCACUUGAUCUUUGCCUUGUCUCUAUGAGCAGGUACACUUCGAGCAAAACAUGGAGGAGUUUUACAACUCCCACACUCCACCAAGUGAAGGACCUGGAUCUACGAGCACAAACAUACUGAGCAGGAUGCUGCUGUGGGGGUAUAAACCCCUAUACCCUCAUGGGCCGAUAUGGGCCGCACCAUCAGAGGUGGCUCGGCCCACAAGAUGAAGACGUGUGGCGCAUGACGCUGGUCGACGUGCACCGCAAGGCUACAAGAUAUUGUACCAAAUAGGAUAGUUUACUUGUAACUCUGUCCCUUCACGAUAUAUAAGGAGGGGCAGGGGUCUCCUAGAGGACAGUUCAUACACAACACAUUAUUCUCUCAACACAAUCCAAUACAAUCAGACGCAGGACGUAGGUAUUACGCCCACACGACGGCCAAACCUGGAUAAAAACUUUGUCCGAGUCUUGUGUCACCAUCGAGUUCGUAACUUGCGCACCGUCUACUGAUAAACUACUACCGUGGGUAUACCCCAAGGUAGACUGCCGACUAGCUUUCGUCGACAGUGGCGCGCCAGGUAGGGGGUGUGCGUACAGCUCUCCUAGACGAACAAGAUGGCCAUCAUCCCCGACUUCGCGGCCAUAGCGGGCGGCUUCACGUUCAUCGUCAGCUUCAACAGCUUCACUGCCAUGACCGCAGAGGAGGCGUAGAUCCGACCUGUGCCGAUCACUUCUUCACCGACGUCGGUCGUGGCACCAACCACGCUGACUACGACUUCCACUACUCCAGCAACGUCUCCGACCAUGCCGACAACGCGUCAUCCGCUUCCCUGCUACAAAGGGAGGCAAAUUGACGACACCGACGUGCUCGCGCUAUCGACCAAGUUGUUUGGCCUACUUGAAGAACGGCGCUACGACAACCGCGACCACCAUCAUGACAACAAGUCAAAAAGCUCGAGGGCCAGACAAUUUUAUCACCACCGACCAGACUUUCGUCCAAAGAUAAGUACAAUUCUAAUAUUUUAUUUAUUUUUAGCAUAAUAUUUUUUAUUAUCCUCCAAAACAACUUUUUGGUUAGCCGACUAGUUUUUUCUCCUACACGAGUUUUCCAGAGCCGGUACUGUCUCCGACUCCUCCCUACACGUGCAGGAGAUCUGCUCUUUGCGUUCCGGGUGGUCGGCAGUAGCUCUCUGGCGAGGCUGGCAAUCCCACGCGUGUCUAGGUUUCGCACCUCAUGCUGAUUAUUGGCUAAACCAGAGCUGGUACAAGCUCUAGGAUGAAUUAACUACUCGUGCUAAUUUUAUAACAAAAAAUCUAAAACUUAUCUGAGUACUGAUUUUUUAUCUAAAGUUUAUUUAUACAUCAUGUACUACCUAUUCUCUAUAUUUAUUUUUCAGGAGUUUGGCCCAGUCGACAAGCUACGCUCGGGGACUCGUCGACUAUUCCCUACGCUAUGCUCGGGGACUGCUCCGACCACCGAGCACGUUUACGUUCCCAACCGCGCUCAGGGACUUGUCGACUACUCUCUAGGCUGUGCUUGAAGACUGUGCCGACCACCGAGCACGUUUACGUUCCCAACCACGCUCGGGGACUUGUCCACCAGUCCCUACGCCGUGCUCGGGGACUGUACCUACCACCGAGCACGUCUACUUUCUCAACCGUGCUCGAGGACUCGUCAAUCACUCCCUUCACUGUGCUCGGGGCUUACUUCGAUCACUCUCCAACCACAGCUUGGGGACUGUUCUUCUCAGUUACAUAUGAAUUGGACUCAUAUACAACUGAGGGGUAAUUUUAUUUUUUAGACCUUGCUAUAAGGCUCAUACUUCGCCUUCCAGCAAGCUCGGGGACUACAUCGGUACGAUGCAUCUGGCGAUGCAUCUCAGUUUUAGAAUAUCUAUGAAGACUUUUUUGAUCCUAGCACCACGUGCCUACGUCACCUACUACCAGGCUCGGGGACUAAGUGGGCACACUUCACCUUGCGGUGAACAUGCUUGCCUUUUGAAAGUCUGUACUUUUCAGAAAAGUAAAGUUGGCACACUUCACCAGAAAAGAAAUCUUUUUUGAUUAAGAGCACCAUGCAUUCUUCGAACAACCUACUUCUUCAAUGUCAAUGUUGAUCAACUGUCUUUUGAGUUGGUUAAAUACAGUUGCAACUGUUUGGGCGACUUUCCUGCUUAUUGAAGACGUCAAGCCUCACUGGUCGAAGAAGCUCAAGACGGCGUGUUACAUCACAAUACAUGGUGCUCGGGGACUAGCUGUGGGGGUAUAAACCCCUAUACCCUCAUGGGCCGAUAUGGGCCGCACCAUCAGAGGUGGCUCGGUCCACAAGAUGAAGACGUGCGGCGCAUGACGCUGGUCGACGUGUACCGCAAGGCUACAAGAUAUUGUACCAAAUAGGAUAGUUUACUUGUAACUCUGUCCCUUCACGAUAUAUAAGGAGGGGCAGGGGUCCCCUAGAGGACAGGUCAUACAUAACAUAUUAUUCUCUCAACACAAUCCAAUACAAUCAGACGCAGGACAUAGGUAUUACGCCCACACGGCGGCCGAACCUGGAUAAAAACCUUGUCCAAGUCUUGUGUCACCAUCGAGUUCGUAGCUUGCGCACCGUCUAUCGAUAAACUACUACCGUGGGUAUACCCCAAGGUAGACUGCCGACUAGCUUCCGUCGACAGCUGCCAACGUCGCACUUCGAACUGUUGGGUAAACGAAGAACAUGGGUGACACCGUAUCAAGAGGUGCAGACGUCAAGGUCCACGCCUGAAUCAAAUGACGCACCUAAAGAAUGAACACGGUGAGAAGUAUUGUUCAGAAGACUUAAAACAUUGAACCCUUGCCGAAAGGUAAAAUCGGUAGUUAUCCAUAUUUAUUCUUUCUGCAUUCCCUUUUUCCUUAAAUUAUUUGCUUUCAUUAAAUGACUUGUUAGUUAAUCAUGCUAUCUUGAAAAGAAAGUAAAAAUGUUAAAAAUCGUAAGCCCCAUGUGAGUAUGCUCGUGGCAUAAAACCCAUAAGUACAUUCACUAUGGUGGCGUAAAAAUAAAAUAAAUAUAUUCCUGUCCUACAAAAAUUAAAAUAUAAAAAUAGAUUGUGAUCCUACUAAAGAGAGUAACAUUUAUAGAGGAAGCUCAAUAUGAUUACGGCUAAGAGAUUUUAUGCUAACACUUAACCAGUUCCACAAAGCUUUGUUGUCUAUUUGAGCUCCACAGAAUUCAAGAAUCCAAGAAGACUAGCAGACGGAGGACAUCCUAAUCGCUGUCAGGGUGCUGCCGACAUUUAAAUACACCUUCGCCACCUGCUAGCUACAUCAGAAGAAAUUACGUCAAAAUCCAGCUUGGGGGAGAGCACCCCCAUUUAUCCAGCUAAGUGUUCUACUCACUUUAUACUUUACUCAAAUAAUAAAAAGAUGCAUAAUCAUAAAAACCCAAAUAAAGAUUUUAUGCUUAUAUAUAUCUUUGCUUAGUUUUCUGAAUAAAUAAAUAAAUAAAGUUUGCUAUAAACCCUCAUGAUAAGCUCUCACAUGGAAAUGAUGAAUAGUUACUCUGCCAUGACUAGUUCUCAAAAUUAAAAAUCUCUCUCAAGUUUAGGCAUGACUGUUAUUAAUUAAGUUUUGCUCAACUUGUGGGAAGAGUACUUGAUCUAAAGUCUAAGUCGUUAACGGAUACGAUAUGGGAAGGUUAAGAUGUUGUUUAUCUGUUCCUAGAGAUGCUAGAAUUCUGGAGAAUUUUAUCUUUGAAAAUCUUUAAAAUAACACAUGAUGAGUUCCUGUAUAAUGAGAGUUUAAAUUCCUACCACAGCCAUAUAUACAUGCUUGCUAGACUUUGAGCCACACAUUUACUUUUUACUGCUUAUGAGCAUUGAGUGAGGUCAAGCUGUGUAGACCCUUAGGAGCUUGUCAUGUGGUUAAAAUCAAGAUUUACUUGCACGUUCACUCACACAUCCUGCUUCUACUCCGGAAGUACGCAUCCACAUACAUCCACUCAUUUCCAUAUCCAGAUUCACCCAAAAUUAUUCUACUCCUAUCUAGGAGAGAAUAGCCAAAAACAUUAUCCUAUCCCUGUUAUUCCCCGUGAAAUAAAUGCUCGAGAUGUUUUGGUUACUACCACUUGCUACAUUAUUCCACGAGGGUGAGUGCUCUAAAAAAAGUGAAUACAAGGAAAUAAAAAGGGGCAAGUGCCCAAAACCUCAGAAAAAAAGAGAAGAAAAAGUGAGACGAGAGGUAAAAAUGGACAAGUGUCCGACAGUAGAAUUAGGGGUACAAGAUACCCACCUGAGAGAAAAGAAAAAUAAAAUAUAGAGCAUAUCAUUCCCCUCAAAAGCCUCAAGUGCAAGGAAGGUAUUACCCACUCAAAAGAGCAAAAGUAGAAUUAGACUUUCACCAUUAUUUUCACCAUUAUCACCAUUCCUUCGCCACACAUGCACAUCUUGAUUUGACUCAUUGACUUGUUCUUCUGGAUCCAUGGUUUGACUAUGCAAUAAAUGUCUUGUAAGUAUGUAUUAGCUGUCUCCCACCUAUGAGCUCCAGAUAUCAAAACCUUAUUAGAGUAGGGUGAGAGAGAAGACAAUGCCACUAUGCCUCAUACCAAAAAUACCAUAUACUUUGAAGGCAUACACCAUUACUGCCUUGGUAAGGAUCCAGAAAUACCAUAAAAGAGAGACUAGAGAGAGUCAUAUAAGGAAUCUCUGAGUUUUAUUGGAAAAUCUACAAAAACUCCAGAGCUAUAGUUAAUCGAAGAACAAGAGAUAUGGUGCUUGACUAGACCGUUCUAUCUUUUAAUUGCUCAAGACGCAAGUGACGGUUGCAAGCCCCAUGGUGAAAGGUAAAAUGAGUAAGUUUUAAGUCGUAACAGUUUACUCUAACUCAGAGAUG